rnacentral:rRNA from 1 species
AUGACAUGGCAUGUCCUGAUUGGUGCUCCUGGUUCAUGUCUCUCACCCUUAUCUCCUCAAGUGCACAGCCGCAGCCAGCACCUCACGCCUCAUCUCUUUGCUGCCUCGCCGGAGACGCCGCUCCUCGCGCCGCCACAGGUCCUGUCCCCUUCUUCUUCUUCUUCUUCUUCUUCUUCUUCUUCUUCUUCUUCUUCACCCAAGCAGCAGCAGCAGGCUACACUCGCUGCUCCUCGCCGGACAGCAGCGGCGCAGCCGCAAGCAUCGGCCGAAGCACCAAGCAGCAGCAAGCACGCGCAAGCAACAACAGCCCCGGCCGCCGCUGCUGCUCCUCUUUCUCGGCCACGACAGCAACAAGUGGUCAAGCACGUGUGCAAGCAGCAUCAGUCCGGUGGCUUUGACGCAAGGCGUGAGGAGGCGGCUGCUCCGUGCAACACUGCAUCUCGCCGUCCUCCUCUUGAUCUGUGCCUUCCCUGA